CUUCCCACAGUGCCUCUUCAUACCGUGCGGACUCCUACAAGGGAAAUAAGUAUCACAACUUUGGUUGAACGUGGUCUGGUCUCAGAUUUACCUGAUGGCCACCACUCACAGCUCCCGCAGAGCCCAGAGAUUUCUCCUGGAAGGAAAGGUUCUGGAAAAUCAGAGGGAUAAAUAAAACAUGCAGCUGAUUCCUGCCUUGUGCUGACGCCCAAGAGGGUGAGGAGAGAAGUACCAUUUUCAGGAAUCCUAGGCCCCUCCGGUGUGCAUCAUUUCCCUCCAGGAUCACUGAGUACCUCCAGACCCCUCUGGGCCUGCUGAGCAACAUCGAGGCCCAUAGGUCGGUCCCUCCUAGGCCCUGUGUGUAUGCCGAGUGAUGGGCAACACACUGCACGUUCGUUAAGGAGAGCUGCAAUUCCAUAGCCCUCGAACUGCCUCAGUACCACAUUUCUGGCCAGUCCGAUAUGCCAUGGAAGUAUUUGUCAUUGUCACCAUCUGAGCUGCCAUGGGAAAACACUCUGCUCAACAUUUUCGAGGAUCUCAUACCUGAAGUCACUCUGCUCGAGAAGAGAGUCAGCCUCCUACCAUGCUGUAUCAAUAACGGGACACUCAGCGUGAGCACUUGCCUCAAGGCCGGGCCAUGCAGCAUGUGGGAUUUUAGUUCCCCUACCAAGAAUUGAACCUGCUCCCCUGCAGUGGAAGCAUGAGUCUUCACCGCUGGACCAGCAGGGAAGUCCCUGAGAUUCUGCAUUUAAACCCUGUAUCUGCCCAGUUUCUGUGUCCUGUGUUCCUGAGCGGCACGUGUGCGUAGAAGGGAGGCUUUUCAAGAGCCACUGGCCCGGAGCCCUAGCCAGGGUCUACCUUGGUUGAAGCAGUUUGCUCUGAAGAACACCCUGCUUCGAGGAGUCGAUUCAGCCCUCGAACAGCCUGAGGACCACAUUUCUGGCCAGUCCGACGUGCCAUGGAAUUCUUCGUCAUGGACAUCGUAUGAAUUGCCGUGGGAAAACAGUCUGCUUAGAAUUCUUCGAGGAUCUCGUACCUGAAGUCACUCUACUCGAGGAGAAAUUCAGCAUCCUACCAUGCUGUGUCGCUAAUGGGACACUCAGCGUGAGAACUUGCCUCAGGGACACCUAGGAGGCUCUCGUAGGCACCCUAUUCCCGGCAGGAACGGUGCUUCCAUGGCCGAGGUGGAGCUCAGCCUGCCAUGCUCUAGAGGUCAAGGGAAACUGAACGUGAGUAGUUGCGUCGAGGACAGGCCCUGAGUAUCCGUACAGAAAGGGAGGCAUGCAGCUAUUUCCAUGAGCUCUUAGUCACUUUUCUGCUGUACUUUAAUGGAAGUACCCCUUUCAGGAGUCCUAGGCCCCUCGUGUGUGCACCAUUUCCUUCCAGGAUCCCUGAGUAACUCCAAACACCUGUCGCCCUGCUGAGCAACAUCGAGGCUCAUAAGUUGGUGCCUCGGAGGUCCUCUGUGUAUGCCGAGUGUUCGGCAACACACUGAAUGUUCCUUAAGGAGAGCUACAUUUCCAGAAUUCUCAAACUGCCUCAGGACCACAUUGCUGGCCAGUCCAACGUGCCGUGGAAGUCUACGUCAUGAUCGUCGUCUGUGCUGCUAUGGGAAAACGUUCUGCUUAACAAUUCUUCGAGGAGCUUGUACCUGAAGUCACUCUGCUCAAGGAAAAAUUCACUAUCCUACCAUGCUGUGUCGCUAACGGGACACUCAGCGUGAUCACUUGCCUCAAGGUAAGGCCCUGAAUGGCCGUGCGGAAGCAGAGGCCUGCAGAAGUUUCCAUGAGGCCGUAGCCGCUGCUCUCCGUUAUCUGAACGGCUUUUCAGGACACCUAGGAGCUCCGCGUGGGUACCGAAUUCCCGGCAGGUUCCCUGAGUACCCCAGGCCCCCCUGGGCCUGCUAAGGAACGUCCUGGCGCAUAUCCCUUCGGAGCCUGUCUGUUUAUGCUGAGUGUAGCGCAACACACCGCACUUCGUCAUGGGACAUCUUGCAAUCCCCUGCACUCCCAAAGUUUCAAGAACACUCUUUAAGCAUGUGCAGCAUGCCUGAUAAAUCUGACUCAUUGCCCUAGUCUGAGCUGCACUGAGAAAAACCCUCGGCUUCGCAUUCCAUCUAGGACCUCCUGCCUGAAGUCACCCUGCCACCAGGAGAAAGUCGGCUUGCUUUCCGACUGCCACUAAAGCCCGGUUCUUCAUGUAACACUGCAGGCUUUUGAAGAGCCUCAGGCCCGAGGCCUAGCUAGGGCAUACCUUGGUUGAGGCAUUUUGCUAGAUGCAGAACACCCUGCUUCGAGGAGUUGAGUCAGGGAAGGGACAACUGGGUACCCUGUGUCUCUUUUGACUUGUUAGAAACCACAGGGAUGUAUGUUGCGUGUGCCCUUGGAAAUGGAUGCCUAAUGGAAGUAGCCUUGCUUUCCCAUUUUGAAAGCUCCAUGCAUGCUGCUUUGAAGCUCCCUGAAAUUCGCUGCUGUGGACAGGUCUCUAGCCACUGUAGGCCUGGCUCCGGGAAGAAAAUGAGUUUCCUGUAGCUAAACCAGGUGCUUCCAUGGCCUGGUUGGGGCUCAGCCUGCCAUGCUCUACAGCUAAAGGGAAACUCAACGUGAGCACUUGCUUCGAGAACAUGCCCAGAAUAUCCGUACAGAAAGGGAGGCGUGCAGCUGUUUCCAUGAGGUCUUAGUAGCUGUUCUGCGCAUUUUAAGGGAAGUGCCCUUUUCAGGACUCUUAAGCCCCUCGGGUGUGCGUCAAUUCCCUCCAGGAUCACUGAGUACCUCCAGACCCCUGUGGGACUUCUGAGCAACAUCGAGGCCCAUAGGUCGGUCCCUCGGAGGCCCUCUGUGUAGGGCGAGUGCUGGGCCACACACUGCACGUUCCUUAAGUAUAGUUGCAUUUCCAGAUCCCUCGAACAUCCUCAGGACCACAUUUCUGGCCUGUCCGCCGUGCCAUGGAAGUCUUCGUUAAGGCUGUCGUCUGACCUGCCAUGGGCAAACAUUCCGCUUACAAUUCCUGGAGGACCUCGUACCUGUAGUCACUCUGCUCGAGGAGAAAUUCACCAUCCAACCAUGCUGUGUCGCUAACGAGACACUCAGCAUGAGCACUCGUCUCGAGGUAAGUCCCUGAAUUGCCGUGCAAAAGCAGAGGUGUGCAGCAGUUUCCAUGAGCCCGUAGCCGCUGCUCUGCAAUAUCUUAACGGCAGUACGCUUUUCAGGGCACCUAGGAGCUUCGCGUGGGCACCCUAUUCCCGGCAGGAACAGUGAGUACCCCCAGGACCCCCUGGGCAUGCUAAGAAACUGCAAGGGCCGUAACCCAUCGGAGCCACUCUGUGUAUGCCGAGUGUUCGGCAACACACUGAAUGUUCCUUAAGGAGAGCUACAUUUCCAGAAUUCUCGAACUGCCUCAGGACCACAUUGCUGGCCAGUCCAACGUGCCAUGGAAGUCUACGUCAUGACCGUCGUCUGUGCUGCCAUGGGAAAACGUUCUGCUUACAAUUCUUCGAGGAGCUUGUACCUGAAGUCACUCUGCUCAAGGAAAAAUUCACCAUCCUACCAUGCUGUUUCGCUAAUGGGACACUCAGCGUGAUCACUUGCUUCAAGGUAAGGCCGUGCAGAAGCGGAGGCGUGCAGAAGUUUCCAGUAGGCCGUAGCCGCCGCUCUC